rnacentral:lncRNA from 1 species
AGGGUCACACCUCCUGAAUGUGAUAAAUCGGGGGGCGUGACAGAGGUGGUAUCAGAGCAUUAUUUGAGGAUCACUAUAAGAUAGUUGAUACAUUUGAUUUGCAAAAUUAUAUUGAGAUUUAGUAAAUUACAUAGAAAUAGAUGAAAAAUUUCUUUGAUAUCUUUUAGGGAUCUAGGAUGCAUCUGGUCGUCUUGAGGAAUGAAGUACGAUUGGCAGGGAAGUCGAAUUUUUAAAUUUUAGAGGAUGGCUUAUUGACAUUUGUGAUGGAUUUUAUGAUGUAGUUUCGUUUAGGUGAGUUGACUUUGGAUUUUAUGAAUCUUUGAGUGUUGUGUCGUAUGAUUAUAACUGCCAAGUCUUAUGUAUUGUAGGAUUAUGGUUGUGAAUUAUGACUUGAAUGAUUUUUAGUGUCCUCAAAUUUAGUUAGGAUUUCGUAUUAGAUUGUUGACUGAAUUUUAAUAAUAUGGAUUUUAAGACAGGGUCAAAUCUCGUGAAUGUGAUAAAUCGGGUGGCGUGACAGAGGUGGUAUCAGAGCAUUAUUUGAGGAUCACUAUAAGAUAGUAAAUACAUUUGAUUUGCUAAAUUAUAUUGAGAUUUAGUAAAUUAUAUAGAAAUCGUUGAAAAUUUUGUUUGAUAUCUUUUAGGGAUCUAGGAUGCAUCUGGUCGUCUCGAGGAAUGAAGUACGAAUGGCAGUGAUGUCGAAUUUUAAAAUUUUAGAGGAUGGCUUAUUGACAUUUGGGAUGGAUUUUAUGAUGUGGUUUCGUUUAGAUGAGUUGGCUUUGGAUUUUAUGAAUCUUUGAGUGUUGUGUCGUAUGAUUAUAACUACCAAGUCUUAUGAAUUGUGGAUUAUGGGUGUGAAUUAUGACUUAAAUGAUUUUUAGUGUCCUCAAAUUUAUAUGGAUUUCGUAUUAGAUUGUUGACUGAAUUUUAAUAAUAUGGAUUUUAAGACAGCGUCACACCUCCUGAAUGUGAUAAAUCGGGGGGCGUGACAGAGGUGGUAUUAGAGCAUUAUUUGAGAAUCACUAUAAGAUAGUUGAUACAUUUGAUUUGUAAAAUUAUAUUGAGAUUUAGUAAAUUAUAUAGAAAUCGAUGAAAAUUUUCUUUGAUAUCUUUUAGGUUUCUAGGAUGCAUCUGGUCGUCUCGAGGAAUGAAGUACGAAUGGCAGUGAUGUCGAAUUUUUAAAUUUUAGAGGAUGGCUUAUUGACAUUUGGGAUGGAUUUUAUGAUGUGGUUUCGUUUAGAUGAGUUGACAUUGGAUUUUAUGAAUCUAUGAGUGUUGUGUCGAAUGAUUAUAACUACCAAGUCUUAUGAAUUAUGGAUAAUGGGUGUGAAUUAUGACUUGAAUGAUUUUUAGUGUCCUCAAAUUUAGUUUGGAUUUCGUAUUAUAUUGUUGACUGAAUUUUAAUAUUAUGGAUUUUAAGACAGGGUCACACCUCCUGAAUGUGAUAAAUCGGGGGGCGUGACAGAGGUGGUAUCAGAGCAUUAUUUGAGGAUCACUAUAAGAUAGUUAAUACAUUU